rnacentral:rRNA from 1 species
GAUGAACGCUGGCGGCGUGCUUAACACAUGCAAGUCGAACGAGAAGUGAAGACGGAAACCUUCGGGCGGAAGGCUUUAUUUCGAGUGGCGGACGGGUGAGUAACGCGUGGGUAACCUGCCUCAUACAGGGGGAUAACAGUUGGAAACGACUGUUAAUACCGCAUAAGACCACAGCACCGCAUGGUGCGGGGGUAAAAACUCCGGUGGUAUGAGAUGGACCCGCGUUCGAUUAGCCAGUUGGCGGGGUAACGGCCCACCAAAGCGACGACCGAUAGCCGAUCUGAGAGGAUGACCGGCCACAUUGGGACUGAGACACGGCCCAAACUCCUACGGGAGGCAGCAGUGGGGAAUAUUGCACAAUGGGGGAAACCCUGAUGCAGCGACGCCGCGUGAGUGAAGAAGUAUUUCGGUAUGUAAAGCUCUAUCAGCAGGGAAGAAAAUGACGGUACCUGAGUAAGAAGCCCCGGCUAACUACGUG